CCCGGCCGGCACAAUUGGUUAGUGCGUAAGACUCUUAAUGUUAAGGUUGCGAGUUCGAGUCUCGCGUCGGGA